UACGUAGGGGGCUAGCGUUGUCCGGAAUCAUUGGGCGUAAAGCGCGCGUAGGCGGCGCGGUAAGUCGGGUGUGAAAUCUUGGAGCUUAACUCCGAAACUGCAUUCGAUACUGCCGUGCUUGAGGACUGGAGAGGAGACUGGAAUUUACGGUGUAGCGGUGAAAUGCGUAGAUAUCGUAAGGAAGACCAGUGGCGAAGGCGGGUCUCUGGACAGUUCCUGACGCUGAGGCACGAAGGCCAGGGGAGCAAACGGG
rnacentral:rRNA from 1 species